rnacentral:rRNA from 1 species
UACGUAGGGGGCAAGCGUUAUCCGGAUUUACUGGGUGUAAAGGGAGCGUAGACGGCGAUGCAAGCCAGAUGUGAAAGCCCGGGGCUCAACCCCGGGACUGCAUUUGGAACUGUGUGGCUGGAGUGUCGGAGAGGCAAGUGGAAUUCCUAGUGUAGCGGUGAAACGCGUAGAUAUUAGGAGGAACACCAGUGGCGAAGGCGGCUUGCUGGACGAUGACUGACGUUGAGGCUCGAAAGCGUGGGGAGCAAACAGG